rnacentral:rRNA from 1 species
GAUGAACGCUGGCGGCAUGCCUAAUACAUGCAAGUCGAGCGGACGGACGAGAAGCUUGCUUCUCUGAUGUUAGCGGCGGACGGGUGAGUAACACGUGGGUAACCUACCUAUAAGACUGGGAUAACUUCGGGAAACCGGAGCUAAUACCGGAUAAUAUUUUGAACCGCAUGGUUCAAAAGUGAAAGACGGUCUUGCUGUCACUUAUAGAUGGAUCCGCGCUGCAUUAGCUAGUUGGUAAGGUAACGGCUUACCAAGGCAACGAUGCAUAGCUGACCUGAGAGGGUGAUCGGCCACACUGGAACUGAGACACGGUCCAGACUCCUACGGGAGGCAGCAGUAGGGAAUCUUCCGCAAUGGGCGAAAGCCUGAUGGAGCCACGCCGCGUGCGUGAUGAAGGUCUUCGGAUCGUAAAACUCUGUUAUUAGGGAAGAACAUAUGUGUAAGUAACUGUGCACAUCUUGACGGUACCUAAUCAGAAAGCCACGGCUAACUGCGUG